UAUAUAAAAAACAGGAACUCUUUACAUGCUAGGUCUGCAAUUUUAUGACUACAAAUUUGUUGUUGAUUAUUGCUCUUGAUAUUGUAACAAUGAUUGUUAAUGUUGAUUAAUAGACAUACAAAACAAAUUCUGUCUAUACAGUUAAGAAGCACUUAUAAACAUUUAUUGCUUUUUUUGCAUUAGAAAAUCAAGACAUUAUAUGACUUAUUUAAGUAGCUUGAAAAACAAAACAGCUAUUUAAAUGGGGAGUAAAUUUUAUAUACAGAAAGCAAGCAUAAAACAAUGAAGAAUUCUGCAUCUAACGCAAAUUAUGCACACUUGAAAAAACUUUUAGAAUCAUUGAAGCUGUCUACACUGUGCAAAGAAUUACUUGCAUUGAAUUUGCACUCAUGGUUUAUAAUGAAAGAAUUUAUGAGAGUGCAGAAUUCCGUCAGUGAUUUGCCACUGCAUUCAUAAGUUCAGCAGAAAUAUGUGAUUGGUUAAAAAUUAAUGCUGCCAAAAAAAAAAAAAAAAAAAACAUAAAAAGGAAUGUGAUGCAAUGUGAAGCAAUGUAAUGCCACUGUCACCACUUUUCUCAUUUCACUUCAAUCGCAACAGAAGUUGUGCAGGGUUAUAUUUUUGCCACAAUCCCCUGUUAAUUUCCAACCCUGUUGCAUGCCCAUGUUUACUGAUUAACCUUUUAAAUCACUAGGAGUUUGGAGGCGGUGGAGCUGUUAAUUUCUGCAGGGGCACGUUUGGAAAAAUCCUCAGAGGAACUUGGGGUUGAGAUGUGCUGUCUUGCAUUCCUUGGAGACACAGAACAGAUGGAGGUGUGAAAGAAGGCUGGAGUCAGUUUUAACGUUUCUGAUUCUCACGGUUGAACUCCCUUACAUGUUGUGAGGUUUUCUCAGAGAUGUUAAGUCAUUCUUGUUCCUAUGAUAAGCAUUGAAGCCUGGCUCAUCUUUCUUGAUUUGAUUAAAUAGGCGGUGUGUAGCGAUCAACCUGAAAUGGUAAAGUUCUGUAUCCGCAAUGGAUCCGAUCUUGAGGUAUGGACACACAGAGAUUUUGAAAUGCAGUCGUUUAUUUCUCAAAAAUUUGGACACAUUUUUGGCCAAUAUUUUAGAAUAAUAUCAAGUUAUCAAAACACUUCAGAUGCAUGCUAGGUUUUCUAUUAGUCUUAAGGCAGCUCCCAUAUGCUAUGCACUGUUGACUGCUUUUCCAUCACUCAUCUUUUCAACUUGUCAAUUAAAAAAAAAAGUAAAUUAAAUUCUAACUUUUUGUUGGAAAAGUCAUACUAUAUGUAUUCACAAUUUAUAUGGUCUACAAAGAAAUAUCAGAAUGUUUUAAAGGGGACCUAUUAUGGCGCUUUUUACAAGAUAUAAUAUAGAGAGUUUUCACGACGCGUCAUCAGACCGGAAGUCGCCAUAUUGGAGGCACUCCGCAUCACAACAAAGCACAGGCACUGAAGUAUAUCCGAACGUCGUCAAGGAAAAUGGUUAAUUAUUGCCGUGUUUCAGGUUGUACCAAUAGGACAGAUCGAGAAAAACAUUUGGAGUAUUAUCGACUUCCAAAAGUUAUUAAAAACCAGGGAGAGGAAUGCCAGAGAUUAUCAGAGGAAAGGAGGCGCUUGUGGUUGGCAAAGCUCAACCAAGAUCUACGAGGGAAAAAAUCUGGACAACAUCCAUAUUUGUUCGGCACAUUUCUUGUCAGGUAAAAAGUCUGACCUUUACCAAAAGGAUGACCCAGAUUGGGUGCCAUCUGUUGGACUGACAGGUCAGCAAGGAGGUUCACCUCAGUCAACCAAAGAAACAGGGAACUCACGCUACAAGCGUCGCAUGAACCGAACCCAGAAGAGACUGAAGCUGCUGCUGUUGCUGCUGCUGAGACUGAUGAUGACCCCACCACAAGUUAUGUCAGCGAUAAUUUUUGCUGCACAGGGACUCAAACUGAAUUGACUGGUGAUGCCAUUGAGGCUAUGACCACUAAACUUCAAAGUCUUAGAACUGAAAACAUUCAGUUGAGCUCUGAUGUUGCACAUGUGUCCACUUCCUAUGACCAAAGUGCCUUUGUUGAUAAGGAUGAAAAGGUUUUAUUUUUCACUGGCCUACCUACAUACCAGAUACCGUUAGUACUCUUCACAUUCCUUAGUCCCCACCUCCCUGUGAGGAAGUCACUUGAUAAGUUUAAGCAGUUGAUGCUGACACUGAUGCGUCUUAGGCUUAAUGUUUCCACAACCUUCCUGUCAUAUGCAUUCAACGUUGUCAAUAGCCACUGCUUCAAGGAUAGUCACUGAUGUCACUGAUGUCAUGUUUAUUCGCAUGAAGCCACUUAUCAUAUGGCCAGAUAGAGAUCAGUUGCAAAAAACCAUGCCAAUGCAAUUCAGGAAACAUUUUGGGAAAAAAUGUGCUGUUAUUAUUGACUGUUUUGAGGUUUUUAUAGAACGUCCAUCUAACCUUAUAGCCAGAGCAGAAACAUGGUCUUCCUACAAGCACCAUAACACAGUUAAAUUCAUGAUUGGUAUUACACCCCAGGGCACAG